rnacentral:rRNA from 1 species
UGGAACUGAGACACGGUCCAAACUCCUACGGGAGGCAGCAGUGAGGAAUAUUGGUCAAUGGACGAGAGUCUGAACCAGCCAAGUAGCGUGAAGGAUGACUGCCUAUGGGUUGUAAACUUCUUUUAUACGGGAAUAAGUGAGGCAUGCGUGCCUUUUUGUAUGUACCGUAUGAAUAAGGAUCGGCUAACUCCGUGCCAGCAGCCGCGGUAAUACGGAGGAUCCGAGCGUCAUCCGGAUUUAUUGGGUUUAAAGGGAGCGUAGGCGGACGCUUAAGUCAGUUGUGAAAGUUUGCGGCUCAACCGUAAAAUUGCAGUUGAUACUGGGUGUCUUGAGUA